rnacentral:rRNA from 1 species
AGCGCAGGCGGGUUGGCAAGUCCUUGGUGAAAUCCUGAGGCUUAACCUCAGGACUGCCAAUGAUACUGCCGAUCUUGAGUACAGAAGAGGAAGACGGAAUUCCUGGUGUAGCGGUGAAAUGCGUAGAUAUCAGGAAGAACACCGGUGGCGAAGGCGGUCUUCUGGUCUGUAACUGACGCUCAUGCUCGAAAGCGUGGGGAGCAAACAGGAUUAGAUACCCUGGUAGUCCACGCCCUAAACGAUGGAUACUCGAUGUCGGGUCGCAAGGCCCGGUGUCCAAGCUAACGCGUUAAGUAUCCCACCUGGGGAGUACGAUCGCAAGGUUGAA